AAUGGCAUAUUUUGUGUAUGAGCCCAUUCGGUAGUGAAAUUCAUAUCUAACUUACAUAUGAUUUAAUAGCUUUUUUUUAAAAAAAUAAAUAUAAAAAAUCUAAGAGUUUUGCAUUAUAGCUGACACCUAGAUGAACACUUUACAGUUGGUUAUAUGACUGUAAGUCAUUCCCUUCAAAUGUUAUUGAAGUUAGAAUCGUGUUUAACAAUGUCGUAUGUAACUUUAGAGACGGUCCCUUAAUUUCUGUAUUUCUGCGAAUAUCGAACGUCCAACGUCAAACCAACUUUAUUGCACUCUGGAUAAAGACACCAGUCCGAGGUCAGAUCUCACGAAAACCAUACGAAUAAAAUGAAAGCUGAGCGACAGAUAAGCCUGACCUGAGAACAGUGAAUGUUAGCGUUCAGCGCCAUCCACUAGCGCUUUGAAGUGCGACACUUCCGGUUAUGAGUCAGCCCGCUUUACGGCAGUUUAUACAAACCAAAAUGUCAAGUUUGGUGGGUUGAUAAACCAGCUAGCUGGUACUUAAAAUGCCGUUUCCUUGGAUUUACGUAAGGAAGAAAACUGGAUAAAGGCAAAGAAUCGUAAGAUAAUCAGCGGUCAUUGGGAGCUACGCGAGAUUUUUAAGCUUAUCUCGAACAGACAACGUUAGCUAUGAAGCUAGCUGCAUGAGUAAUGUGCAAGUCAGUCAGCUGACUCAUAAGACGGCAAGCCAGAUAGUAAAGUUUGAAGUGUUUCGGUGCUAAAUAUUCUAAGAGUGAAGUAAAUUGGUGUAGGUUUUACAACGAUUAGUAGUUCAGGGCAUGCAAAAAGCACGUUGUCAAGGCAGCUGAGAAAUAUGACUUGUUUACUUGGUUGCAUAACUGGCUAGACAAGCUAGAAUUAGCUGUACUUUUUAACUAAGAAUAACGUGCUGAACGUCUUGCUAACGUUCAGAAUUAGUUGUUGAACAAGUGAUUUAAAAAAAUUGCAAGCUGGUUAAGAAUUACAGUGCCACUUGCACUUAUUACUCUCAGGUUAUAUUGUUUUCUAUUCUACUGGUUGGUCCAAAUCUAGAGAAAUCACCAAAUAUCAGCUGAUGUGUGACUAUUUAAAGGAUAGCAGAUCUAAAAUAGAAACCAUGUGGCUUCAGCAGAGAUUUAAGGGACUUCCUGGUUUGCUCUCAAGUAGCUGGGCCAGACGUGUUUUGGUCGUCUUGCUCCUUUUCCUUAUAUUUUACUGGUACUUGAGCUCUGAUGGGAUCUUCAAGUUCCCCGGUUUCUUCCGGAAGGCUGGAGGCGCUGCAGGAGUCUGUCUGCAGACUGAUAUUAACAGAUGGACAACACAAGUUGAACAUGGCGAAGGCAUCAUGAGCACGCCACAGUUGAAAGUCCCAGUACCGUUUGUAACGGGUAAUGGACACAUCUUGGUGGACGUGGAUUCUAACAAACUCUGGGUGACGUCGUCCUCUCAGCCGGGUUUGGCCCCGGUCCACCUGACGGAAUAUUCCCCCAUAGUACGAUGGCAGAUCCCUGGAGCGCGCUCUGAGGCACAGGCUAAGAUGCUGUGGUACAGGAAAGGCUCUGUGCUCUCUUCCCGGUGUAUCCUGCUCGAUACUUCCCAGUCCUUUCGAGAUUGCGUCGUUAUUCGAGAGGAACACGUCGCCCACCGGAGCCGACCUAACGUCUACAUCCAGCGGGUUCACAUAAACAACCCAACAGACAAAGCGAUAUCAGUCGAGGCGUCUGUGGAAUCGCCGUCAUUUAGGGGUGUUGCAGAGAAGGUGGAAGAUAAAGAGUUCAUGCUUUCCACUGGAAAAGUUCUCACAGAAAAGAAGGAAACGGUGUUGAUGGCUGUGGGGACAAAACGCUUGAGCACACUGAUCAAGGUCCCUGCGAAAUCCGACCAUACUGAAAACAUAGUGAGCGUAAUUCACACGUCAGAGCCCGUCGAGCCCUCCAAGUUGGAUGAGACCUCCAGCAAACUUCAAGAUGAUGUCAAAAGAGAGAUGGUGGAGUUGCUACGAGUUAAACUGGAAGAUUUGGUCCAGGAACACCAGCAGGCAUGGGCGGAUCUUUUCAUAUCGGGUAUAGAGAUUAGGAAAAUCACCGAUGCCCACACGCCGUCGAGCCAGACGGUCAACACUACGCUGUACUACAUUCUGUCCUCCUCCACGGCACCCCUGCUGGAGAGCACCCUCAGCACAGAGGAGCGCGAGAAGCUCGAGUCAAGCCUGAACUACGCUGAUCACUGCUUCAGCGGCCACGCCACCAUGCACGCUGAGAACCUGUGGCCUGAGCGCGUGAGCAGCACUGCUUCUCUCCUGCAGCUAGUUAAUCUCUGGACAUUAACUCUCCAAAAACGCGCCUGCAAGGUUCUGGUUUCAGCGGGUGCUCAUGGCAUGAUGCAAGCUGCGACGCUCAGUUUUGGUGGCCUGCAGUUCACAGAGAACCACCUGCAGUUCCAGGCCGAGCCGAGCGUCCUGCAUAAUAGCUAUUCGCUGCGCGGCUUGCGCUACCACCGGGACCGCAUCAGCCUCUCCGUGGUGGCCGACGCAGAGGGCCGGCCCUCUCUGCACGUCUCCGUACAGCCGCAGGAUGAAGAGAAGCCGGUGAAGCUGUACGCCUGCGAGGCAGGGUGCAUCAACGAACCAGUGGAGCUCACGUCUGAGCCUCGGGGUCACGUUUUCCCCGUUUUAGUGACGCAGCCUCUGACGCCGCUGCUCUACAUCUCGACAGACCUGAGGCACCUGCAGGAUCUGCGCCACACUCUGCACGUCAAGACCAUCCUAGCACACGACGAGCACAUGGCCAAGCAGGACCCGGGUCUGCCCUUCCUAUUCUGGUUCAGUGUGGCAUCUCUCGUCGCCCUUUUCCACCUCUUCCUCUUCAAGCUCAUCUACAACGAGUACUGCGGCCCCGGGGCCAAGCCGCUCUUCAGGAGCAAGGUAUAAAUCCGUGAAGGAUCGCUCAUCAACUUUGGGGUGGUGUUGGAUUUUCUUUGUUUUUUUGUUGUUUUUUUUCUGUCCCCCCUUCACUUUCUCUCUACUCCCAAAAUCCUUUUGUUCCUGAAAUAAUGUACUGACCAGAAUGGUCUCUGUUGAUAACUGUUACUCUCAAAACUUUGUUGGAGAGUAAGGCAACGGUGAAGAAUCUCUCUACAGUCAUCUGCCUGGGUGUUUUCCCUACACAAACUCCUUGCUAACUGAAAGCACCAGUGUGAUUGUGGCUGGCACUGCCGUGCUGCUGUGUGAAGCGCUUGAGGAUCUUGCUGAAAAGUUUUCUCUUUCUUUUUUUUUUCUUUGUUUGAUUAUAGUUGAUGCUAUUAAUAAUUAUUUGUGAGUCAUAAAGUAACAGAAAUAUUUAUUUUUUUAUACAAAUGCAUCUUAGUUGGCGAUAUUACAACCGACAAAUUCAUUUUUGUCACCAAAAUCUUCAUUAAUGUAAUGUUCGUUUAUCAUUUAGUUGGAAACAGGCAACUUCUUUCUUUACUCGUGUAGACGAUACAUUUCACACUUCAGAGAAUUGUGAACUAGUCCAAUCAAAUAGAGCGAGGAUUUGAAUUUUAUUUGAUAAGAUACGUGUGCAUAAAUUCUUCACUGGUGCCUUCAAGUUUUUCUUCUUCCAAGCUGGUGUACGGGGUCUCCACCUUUUUCCUUUGGCUUAGAUGUUAUUUUCUUUUUAGGCAAUUGUUUUUACCACCAUGCAAAAGAACGCAGUCUGAGAAGUUCUAACCAAACACCUACUGCCCGUCCAGCAUUACAUUACUAAUCAUAGAGGCAGAAAAGGAGACACGUGCUUGCAUAGUCAGUGGUUUGAAUCAUUUCAUAACCUAACUGCUCAUUUCCAUAAACGCUUGAUGCGGAUAAACCCAACCCUUGUAUGGUUUAAUAGACCAUGUCGACUAUAAACACAUGCUCGAUUCAUAUUUCAUCAUCAGAAUGUGAAUACAUUCUACGUAACACUUCGUACAUCUUUGAAUCAGUUUAAUGUGAAGAAACACUGGACUCCAUCAAACCCAAGCCAAGAAUUACAUUAUUCACCGGUGGUACAAACUAAUUGGAAAAGAAAAAUAUCUUACACUUUGUUGUAUCCGUUCUAGUUUAUAAAUGUGAAAUUGCAUUGAUUGACUUUUUCUGGAAACUUUAUGGGUGAAAUUUCAGGGUGAAAUUGUUUUUCUUUGUUUUUUUAAUGCUUUUUUGUUUGUUCAGCGUGUGCUUGGUUUUUUUUUUUUGUGGUGUUGCAUUUGUUUGAGUCUUGAUUUGUGUUUUUUAUAUUGACUCACUAUAAUUAAAUUAAUGAAUCAGAAGGUGAUGGUCAUCUUCAUUGAUAUGUCUGCUGAGAAUGAUUUACCUACAAAUGUGAUUAUCAUGAUCGAGGUCUGGGCGAUAAAUAUUCAGCUUGAUAAUCUGAUCCAAAAUUGAACGGGAAAAAACCCCAUCUAAUUUCCAGUAUGUUAUAUUAUACUUGUACCAUAUUAUUUGAAGUUACUGUUGUGUUAUACAAACGUAUGAUAUUCAGGCUCGUACCAAAUGUGAUAUAUAGUGAAAAAAUAAUUUCACUGUGUCCAUAUCGCCCAGCCCUAUUAACCACAAGUAGAAUUUUCACGAAUACACAGUGUACGCUCUGAAAAAUGGGUUCCUCACAGGUUUUCUGGAUGGUUAAUGGUUCGAGCGUUCUAAACAAACUCCACAUGGAAGCUGUAAAAGUACCUCCCGAGGGACAAACAGAAGAAACCUUAGGCAAAUUUUAUUCCAUAUUUAGAAAAAUGAUGGUGAACAUGACAUUCAGAUAGGAUUUCAAUUCCAAAUAAGGAUUUUUCAUACACUUAAAUAAAGUACAUACAUACAUAGAUGUAUCUAAAGUGAUCAGCCUUAACAUUAAAAACACCUGCCUAAUAUCAUAUAGGUCACCCAAACAGCUCUGAGCCAUCGAGGCAUGGACUCCACAAGACCUCUGAAGGUGUUCUGUGGUAUCUGCCACCAAGACGUUAGCAGCAGAUCCUUUAAGUCCUGUAAGGUGUGAGGUGGGGCCUCCAUGGAUCGGACGUGUUUGUCCAGAACAUCCCACAGUUGCUUGAUUGGAUUGAGAUCUGGGGAAUUUGGAGGCCGAGACAACAACUUGAACUGUCAUGUCAUGUUCCUCAAACCAUUCCCGAACAAUUUUUGCAGUGUAGCAGAGCGCAUUUUCCUGCUGAAAGAGGCCACUGCAAUUAGGGAAUACCGUUAGCAUGAAGGCGUGUACUUGGUCUGCAGCUAUGUUUAUGUAGGUGGUAAGCGAUGCACACGAACCAACUGUCCACACAACGUAAAAGAAAACGUGAUUCAUCCGACCAGGCCACAUUCCUCAACUGCUCCAUGGUCCAGUUCUGAUGCUCACAUGCCCAUUGUAGGCACUUUUGGCAUUGGACAAGGGUUAGGAAGGGUGCUCUGACUGGCCUGCCCCAUACGCAGCACGCUAUGAUGCACUGUGUGUUCUGACACCUUUCUAUUACAGCCAGCAUUAACAUUUUCAGCAAUGUGUGCUACAGUAGCUCAAUGAGCUUUGGGCACCCAUGACCUUGUCACUGGUUAACCGGUUGCCCUUCCUUGGACCACUUUUGGUAGGUACUAACCACUGCAUACCGGGAACACUCCACAAGACCUGCUAUUUUGGAGAUGCUCUGACCCAGUCUUCUAGCCAUCACAAUUUGGUCCUUGUCAAAGUUGCUCAGAUCCUAAUGUUUGCCCAUUUUUCCUGCUUUCAACACAUCAAGAACUGACUGUUCACUUGCUGCCUAAUAUAUCACACCACUUGAUGGGUGCCACUGUAAUGGGAUAAAUAAUGUUAUUCAAUUCACCUGUAAGUGGUUUUAAUGUUAUGGCUGAUCGGUGUACAUAAAGCUGUUUGUCGCAAUAUGUAGCAAAUGAAAAAAAAAGAAAUCUUUUUAGCAUUAGUUUUGAUACUUCAUGCUUUACUCUAUGGAAUCAUGCACUCACCAUCCACAUUAACAGGAACACCUGCAUUCUAUGUGCUCAUGCAAUUAUUCAAUUAGAGAAACUUGUGGCAGCAGCACAGUGCAUAAAAUCAUGCAGAUACAGUUUAAGAGCUUCAGUUAAUGUACACAGAACAUCAGAAUGGGAAAAAAAUAUGAUCUGUGAUUUUGAUGUGGCAUGGUUGUUGGUGCCAGACCAGCUGGUUUGAGUAUUUCAGAAAUUGCUGAUCUGUGUAAACUUCAGAGAUUGUUGUGCAGGAAAAUCCCAGGACAUUUCACAUUCUCAAAUGCUCAAACCAGCCAAUCUGGUACCAACAACCAUGCCACAUCAUAGUCAUAGUCACCGAGAUCACAUUUUUAUCUAUUCUGAUGUUUAAAAUUUCAUGAAGCUCUUGACCUGUAGUUGCAAGAUUCUAUGCAUUGUGCUGCUACCACAUGACUGGCUGAUUGGAUAAUUGCAUGAAUGUGCAGUUGUACAGGUGUUUCUAUUAUAAUUGCCAGUGAGUAUACAGUAUAUUUCCAUUGUGCUACAUUUCUAUUGAAUAAACUUAAAUAUCCAAGUAGUCCAAACGAAUGUAUAUGCAUAGUGCACUGACAUGGUAAUAGCCACAUUGUUUCUGAUUCCUACCUGUUGAACUUCUGUCUACAGUAUGAGGAUGAGCUCUGUCCCCCAUCAUUUCAUAAAGCAGAUCUUUAAGAUGAAGCCCUUCCUGAAGUCCUGAGGACGACGCGUAAAUUCUCAUAAUCAAUCACUUUACUGUGGAAUCUAUCAUUGAAUAUUAUCAUUUGCUUAAUUUAUUAAUAGAAAACAGUAUUGCUCUGCUGGUGUUGUAAAGCAGGAAAAGUAGGAUUUGAGAUGUUAUAUUUACACAUAAUGUACAACAUAAUUGCAUAUAAAAAAAAAAAGACAUCCACUAUGCAUUGUGUUAUAUAAAUGAAAAUUAUACACUACAGGGCUAACAUAUUAACUUUUAGCUAAAUGCUCAUAUUUCAGUAAAGGUAAAUGAUACAUAUAAGGAACUGCUAUUUGUGCUAGUUGUAAUUUUAGGAUCAAGAUUUAAGACUGGAUUUGUUCACUGAUUCCUCAACAUGGGUUCACGUCUGCGAAUUCAUAACGAUCCACAUCACUAAAUGGCUUGCUGUUCCACUUUUUUAUUUUAUUUUUUUUAUUUUUAUUUUUUUAAAUAACUCUACUGUUUGAAAUAAAGUUUUUACUGUAUGAAAUCAAACAAAAACAA